rnacentral:rRNA from 1 species
GGAUGAACGCUAGCGGGAGGCUUAACACAUGCAAGUCGAGGGGCGUCACGAGGUAGCAAUACCUUGGUGGCGACCGGCGCACGGGUGAGUAACACGUAUGCAACCUUCCCUGUACAGGGGGAUAACCCGGAGAAAUUCGGACUAAUACCCCAUGAUGAUAUUUAUGGGCAUCCAUUAAUAUUUAAAGCUCUGGCGGUACAGGAUGGGCAUGCGCGACAUUAGCUAGUUGGUAAGGUAACGGCUUACCAAGGCGACGAUGUUUAGGGGACCUGAGAGGGUUGUCCCCCACACUGGUACUGAGACACGGACCAGACUCCUACGGGAGGCAGCAGUGAGGAAUAUUGGUCAAUGGGCGCAAGCCUGAACCAGCCAUCCCGCGUGAAGGAAAAAUGCGCUACGCGUUGUAAACUUCUUUUCCAGGGGGAGAAUAAUCCUGUCGUGACAGGACUUGACGGUACUCUGGGAAUAAGCAUCGGCUAACUCCGUGCCAGCAGCCGCGGUAAUACGGAGGAUGCGAGCGUUAUCCGGAUUUAUUGGGUUUAAAGGGUGCGUAGGCGGAUUGAUAAGUCAGUGGUGAAAUUCUACAGCUUAACUGUAGACUUGCCGUUGAUACUGUUAGUCUUGUGUGUGGUCAAGGCAGGCGGAAUGUGUAAUGUAGCGGUGAAAUGCUUAGAUAUUACACAGAACACCGAUUGCGAAGGCAGCUUGCUGGGUCAUUACUGACGCUGAUGCACGAAAGCGUGGGGAUCAAACAGGAUUAGAUACCCUGGUAGUCCACGCCGUGAACUAUGAUCACUCGCUGUUGGCGAUACACAGUCAGCGGCUAAGCAAAAGCAUUAAGUGAUCCACCUGGGGAGUACGGCCGCAAGGCUGAAACUCAAAGGAAUUGACGGGGGCCCGCACAAGCGGUGGAGCAUGUGGUUUAAUUCGACGCAACGCGCAGAACCUUACCAGCCCUUGACAUGUCCAGGACCGGUCGCAGAGAUGUGACCUUCUCUUCGGAGCCUGGAGCACAGGUGCUGCAUGGCUGUCGUCAGCUCGUGUCGUGAGAUGUUGGGUUAAGUCCCGCAACGAGCGCAACCCCCGUCCUUAGUUGCUACCAUUUAGUUGAGCACUCUAAGGAGACUGUUGGUGAUAAGCCGCGAGGAAGGUGGGGAUGACGUCAAGUCCUCAUGGCCCUUACGGGCUGGGCUACACACGUGCUACAAUGGCGGUGACAAUGGGAUGCAAAGGCGCGAGCCCUAGCAAAUCUCAAAAAGCCGUCUCAGUUCGGAUUGGGCUCUGCAACUCGAGUUUAUGAAGUUGGAAUCGCUAGUAAUCGUGGAUCAGCAUGCCACGGUGAAUACGUUCCCGGGCCU